UGGCACAAUGGUGAAAGCGUUCAGUUGCUAACUGAAAGGUUGGUGGUUCGAACCCACC
rnacentral:tRNA from 1 species